rnacentral:rRNA from 1 species
CAGUUUGACUGGGGCGGUCGCCUCCCAAAGAGUAACGGAGGCGUUCAAAGGUUCCCUCAGAAUGGUUGGAAAUCAUUUGCAGAGUGUAAAGGCACAAGGGAGCUUGACUGUGAGACCUACAAGUCGAGCAGGUGCGAAAGCAGGACUUAGUGAUCCGGUGGUUCCGCAUGGAAGGGCCAUCGCUCAACGGAUAAAAGCUACCCUGGGGAUAACAGGCUUAUCUCCCCCAAGAGUCCACAUCGACGGGGAGGUUUGGCACCUCGAUGUCGGCUCAUCGCAUCCUGGGGCUGUAGUCGGUCCCAAGGGUUGGGCUGUUCGCCCAUUAAAGCGGUACGCGAGCUGGGUUCAGAACGUCGUGAGACAGUUCGGUCCCUAUCCGUCGUGGGCGUAGGAAAUUUGAGAGGAGCUGUCCUUAGUACGAGAGGACCGGGAUGGACGUAUCAAUGGUGUACCAGUUGUCACGCCAGUGGCAUAGCUGGGUAGCUAAAUACGGAAGGGAUAAGAGCUGAAAGCAUCUAAGCAUGAAGCCCCCCUCGAGAUGAGAUUUCCCACGGAUAUUAAGACCCCUUGAAGACGACAAGGAGAAUAGGUUAGGAGUGUAAGCACGGUAACGUGUUCAGCUGACUAAUACUAAUAGGUCGAGGACUUAAUCAAG